rnacentral:rRNA from 1 species
CCUACGGGAGGCAGCAGUGGGGAAUAUUGCACAAUGGGGGAAACCCUGAUGCAGCGACGCCGCGUGAGUGAGGAAGGAUUUCGGUAUGUAAAGCUCUAUCAGCAGGGAAGAAAAUGACGGUACCUGACUAAGAAGCCCCGGCGAACUACGUGCCAGCAGCGGCGGUAAUACGUAGGGGGCAAGCGUUAUCCGGAUUGACUGGGUGUAAAGGGGGCGCAGACGGCGCUGCAAGCCAGGAGUGAAAGCCCGGGGCCCACCCCCGGGACUGCUCUUGAAACUGCGUGGCUAGAGUGCAGGAGGGGCCGGCGGACUUCCUGGUGUAGCGGUGAAAUGCUUAGAUAUCAGGAGGAACCCCGGUGGCGAAGGCGGCCUGCUGGACUGCAACUGCCGUUGAGGCCCGAAAGCGUGGGUAGCAAACAGGAUUAGAUACCCUGGUAGUC